UCGGUGUUAGUAUAUCGGUCAGUACACGCGCCUGUCAUUUGAUGGUUCGCGCGAAAGCGGGGUUCGAUUCCCCGACACCGAG
rnacentral:tRNA from 1 species